UUAAUAUUUCAUUGACGUAUAAAGUUAAUUACACUAAUCAAACUACAUAUGGCAGCAGACACGCAUUGUGAUACACCCAAACCUUACCAGCAUCUUAAACAGAUGUUCCAAGGCCACGGUCAGGACACUACUUAGUAAGUCCAAGGUUUAACAAAUUACCCACAACACCAAUGUCCUAUAUUACAGUAGCUAGGAAACUAGGCCUUAGGAAAAAGUAUAAAGAGUGACAAAAGGGGUGCCAGCAGUCGCGGUUAUACCCCUGCUCUAAGUUAACUAUAACUCACACUAGGGAUUAACAUUCUACAAGACUACUAAGCAAACUUGCAACGUAAAAAGAUAAAUUUACAAGCUAAACCCCAAUAAGCCCUAUAAUCCACCCUUACAAACCAUAAAACGAAACUCGGAUUAGAUACCCGACUAUUGCAUGGCCCAACAAUAAAGAAUACUAAGAGCGAAAGCUUAAACCUCAAACAAUGUGGCGGUACUUUACUCCAUAUCAGGGGAUCCUGUAUCUUAAAUCGAUAAUCCACGAACUAUCAUAGCUUCCCUAGUUCCCAGCUUGUGUAUGGCCGUUUAUGCUUGCUCGAAGAAGAUUUAGUAGGAAGCAAAAGAGGUAAACCUCAGUAAUUCAGGUGACAUACAGCUAAUGAGAAGCCGAUUAUGGGAUACAAAUAAAUAGUAUUACCUGACUAGGCCUUAAAACCCCUAUGAAGGAGGACUUGAAAGUAAAAUAAACAUCAUAUAAAGUAUAUUUGAACAAGAACUAAAGUGCGCACAAAUCGCCCGUCACUCCUGCGAUUAAAGUGGGAUAAGUCGUAACACAGUAGGGGUAAUGGAAAUUGCCCCUAGUU
rnacentral:ncRNA from 1 species